rnacentral:rRNA from 1 species
GAUGAACGCUAGCGACAGGCUUAACACAUGCAAGUCGAGGGGCAGCAUAGAUUGUAGCAAUACAAUUUGAUGGCGACCGGCGCACGGGUGAGUAACGCGUAUGCAACCUACCUAUCAGAGGGGGAUAGCCCGGUGAAAGCCGGAUUAAUACCGCAUAAAACAGGGGUCCCGCAUGGGAAUAUUUGUUAAAGAUUAAUUGCUGAUAGAUGGGCAUGCGUUCCAUUAGUUAGUUGGUGAGGUAACGGCUCACCAAGACAUCGAUGGAUAGGGGUUCUGAGAGGAAGGUCCCCCACACUGGUACUGAGACACGGACCAGACUCCUACGGGAGGCAGCAGUGAGGAAUAUUGGUCAAUGGGCGAGAGCCUGAACCAGCCAAGUCGCGUGAAGGAUGACUGCCCUAUGGGUUGUAAACUUCUUUUAUAAGGGAAUAAAAAAAGGGACGUGUCCUUUAUUGUAUGUACCUUAUGAAUAAGCAUCGGCUAACUCCGUGCCAGCCGCCGCCGUAACAC